CGGCGGACGGGUGAGUAACACGUGGAUAACCUACCUAUAAGACUGGGAUAACUUCGGGAAACCGGAGCUAAUACCGGAUAAUAUUUUGAACCGCAUGGUUCAAAAGUGAAAGACGGUCUUGCUGUCACUUAUAGAUGGAUCCGCGCUACAUUAGCUAGUUGGUAAGGUAACGGCUUACCAAGGCAACGAUGCAUAGCCGACCUGAGAGGGUGAUCGGCCACACUGGAACUGAGACACGGUCCAG
rnacentral:rRNA from 1 species